UACGGAGGGUGCGAGCGUUGUUCGGAAUCACUGGGCGUAAAGGGCGUGUAGGCGGUCUGCUAAGUCUGAUGUGAAAGCCAGGGGCUCAACCCUUGGAUGCCGGUGGAUACUGUCGGGCUUGAGUACGGAAGAGGCGAGUGGAAUUCCUGGUGUAGCGGUGAAAUGCGCAGAUAUCAGGAGGAACACCAAUUGCGAAGGCAGCUCGCUGGGACGUUACUGACGCUGAGACGCGAAAGCGUGGGGAGCAAACAGG
rnacentral:rRNA from 1 species